CAGGGCCCCACACUGGUUAACCAGUUCUGUUACUGACAAAGCUGGUCCCCUAUAAGAUGGAGUCUUUCCCUGUUCAGUGUCAUGAAACCAAAUGUGGGAAACUGAAAGUGAUUUUCAAGCAGUACAGACUUAUUUAAUGGUCAUGGAAUUGAGAAGUGGGAGCAUGGCUCAUGAGUCAACUUCUUGACUAGCAAAUGGGGCAUAUUGUCCUGGAAUUAUGGCCAACAUUCUACAGGGCAACAGGUCAUUGAUUCUGAUCCUGCCAGCCUCCACCCAUCUUAUUGGUGGGCAUCAUCCCAGGGUGAACCUGUGAAAGAUAUUGCUUAGUACUGCUUGGA
rnacentral:lncRNA from 10 species